rnacentral:lncRNA from 1 species
CCCCUCACUCUUCACAUGUUCCCACACACCUGAGAACCAUUAACGCGUCAUAUAAAAUACAAAAUGCCUACUUAAAAUUUCAUGUAAUCAUGCAAAAUCACUAUUAAACCGAAAACCAAAAAAAGAAAAAUCAUGCCAGAUGGCUAUUCCAUCAGGGAAAUAGAGAUAUGGAAGUAUAAUUGUACAUCAACAACUAUCAUUGGUACACUUCGAGCAGCGGGUAUACAACAUAUGGAAUUUUAAUCUUCCUACAAUAAAUAUACCAACACUCACUUGAUUAAUAGUGCUGUAGGCACUGCAAUGCUAUAAAGAAAAAAUGAAUUUUAACUAAAGAAGGAUCAUUGUGCAUAGGCAGCGGAGGCCUUCUGGUUAGAAAAUGAUUUUGAUAAAGGAACUUCUCUCCCUUCAAAUAGUUAUAAAUGCCUUCAGCUAUCUCCUGCACAUACAAAAUAUCCCGAGGAAACGUAUCAUUAAUGCAGACAACACUACAAAAAUUGAAUUUUGCAUUCAGCUCCAGAAACUUAGAGUAAUCGUUCGUCCUUAGAUUGAAACACAAUAUACAGAGUUAAAUCAUAUUGAUUUCCGAGGCAGUGUUAAAUAAACAUGCUCGAGAAUUCGUCUUUGGUGCAUAACUAUUUUACUUUCACUACGCAAGUUAAAAUCACUGGAAUUGCAAAGCAGUAUUGAAUUACUAGAUAUGUUCUUUAAGUCUUACUUUGAUUUGAUCCAUCUCUUUUCUACUUUCCUAACCUGGAAAGAAAAAGGAAAAUGGGAAGCACCGAAAAAGAAAUUUCAGAAUUAGUCCUUAACUACCGUCUGAUUAGCAAAGUAGUCUUCAUAGUUUAAUAAGUAUUAAGUCAGCUUCAAUUUUAUCAUCAUAAUUGGAUAAAGUGUUUUCAAUAACCAAAAAUAAUUAAUCUCCAUUAAAUCAUCCCAUGAAGCUUAUAAAAACAUGUCUUCAAAUUUUGGGAUUCAAACCCAAGUUGAGAAACUGUUUCGCGCGGGUUGUCGCUAACAAUUAAAAAUGGAUCAGACGAUUGUGUAAGGAACAAGCCUCUUGAGAC